CUUCCUUCUUGAAGAACCUCAUGCCCUUCACUGGUUGUGCUGGGGAAUCAGGACUUUUACUUUGAAAAAAUUAGAGUGUUCAAAGCAGGCCUUUGCUCGAAUACGUUAGCAUGGAAUAAUAAAAUAGGGCGUGCGUUUCUAUUUUGUUGGUUUCUAGAGACGCCGCAAUGAUUAACAGGAACAGUCGGGGGCAUCAGUAUUCCGUUGUCAGAGGUGAAAUUCUUGGAUUUACGGAAGACUAACUACUGCGAAAGCAUUUGCCAAGGAUGUUUUCAUUAAUCAGUGAACGAAAGUUAGGGGAUCGAAGACGAUCAGAUACCGUCGUAGUCUUAACCGUAAACUAUGCCGACUAGGGAUCGGGCGAUGUUCUUUUUCUGACUCGCUCGGCACCUUACGAGAAAUCAAAGUUUUUGGGUUCUGGGGGGAUUAUGGUCGCAAGGCUGAAACUUAAAGAAAUUGACGGAAGGUCACC
rnacentral:rRNA from 1 species